UUUUUUAUCAUCUGCAUAAAACUUUUUAAAUUCCACUUUUUGAUAUUGGAUGGCUCAUUUUCUAUCCAUUUAGCUAAAUUUUGCUAUAAUAUUCAACAUGUGUCAAGUACCCAAUUGGUGACAAAGGACUCAUGGCGCUGUACUGCGCCAUAUGUUUUGCGGUCACUGAAUUGGGG